UGCCUAAAAUCACACUGCUAAUAAGCGUCUAAAAUCUCUGACUACAGGACUCAUCUACUGCUCUACCUAGCUGCUCUAAAGAAAUGAAAGCAGAGAUCAUUUAGUCUGACUCAUUUUAAAGAUUAGGAAAUGGAGGAUCAGAAGGAUUAAAUGAUUUUCUCAAGGUUACCAGGUAGAAAAAGAAGCAGAGUCAGAAAAUAGUUCAUUCCAAGGCUCUUUCCACUGUUCCAGCCUGGGAUUCAAAGAAGCUCCAGUUUCAGCCCCAGCUUUGCUAGUAACUAGUUGAACAACCCUGGACAAAUCUCUUUUUCUGAAGGAGCUUCAGAUUUCUGUAAAGUGAGAAGGUUCAAUCAAAUUGGAUUCAGCAGACCUGUAUUAAGUGUCAACUAUAGACAAGGCACUGUAAAAAGUAAUCGAAUUUCUGUAACCCUGUACAGAUUAAAGGAUAAUGUCACCACAACCACCCUGUGAGCUUUCUCAUAGAACAGCAAAACAAAUUUUUAUACUGGCCAUGGCCCAUCCCAUCUUAUUCUGGAUUUUAAGGUUCCCUCACCAACCUCCAUCAGCAGGUAGAGCUGAUCCAGCACAACAUUAUCUACAGAGAACACUUAAGCUCGCCGCUGUCAUCUUGAAAGUCUCAUAAGACUGGAAAUCAUUGCCUGGCUUCAUCUUAAUUCCAGAAUUACUUCCCUACUCUCCAUCCCCGCUCUUUUAAUUUUGCUAUACCGGACUAGAAUAAAGGAAACCUUUAUUUAAAAAAAAAAGCCUGA
rnacentral:lncRNA from 1 species